rnacentral:rRNA from 1 species
UACGGAGGGAGCUAGCGUUGUUCGGAAUUACUGGGCGUAAAGGGCUCGUAGGUGGCCAACUAAGUCGGACGUGAAAUCCCUCGGCUUAACCGGGGAACUGCGUCCGAUACUGGAUGGCUUGAGUUCGGGAGAGGGAUGCGGAAUUCCAGGUGUAGCGGUGAAAUGCGUAGAUAUCUGGAGGAACACCGGUGGCGAAGGCGGCAUCCUGGACCGACACUGACGCUGAGGAGCGAAAGCCAGGAGAGCAAACGGG